rnacentral:rRNA from 1 species
GAUGAACGCUGGCGGCGUGCCUAACACAUGCAAGUCGAGCGGCAGCGGGGACUUCGGUCCGCCGGCGAGUGGCGAACGGGUGAGUAACGUAUCGGAACGUACCUUUCAGUGGGGUAUAACGUAGCGAAAGUUACGCUAAUACCGCAUAUUCUGUGAGCAGGAAAGCAGGGGAUCGCAAGACCUUGCGCUGAUUGAGCGGCCGAUAUCAGAUUAGCUAGUUGGUGAGGUAAAGGCUCACCAAGGCGACGAUCUGUAGCGGGUCUGAGAGGAUGAUCCGCCCCACUGGAGCUGAGACACGGCCCAGACUCCUACGGGAGGCAGCAGUGGGGAAUUUUGGACAAUGGGGGCAACCCUGAUCCAGCCAUGCCGCGUGAGUGAAGAAGGCCUUCGGGUUGUAAAGCUCUUUCGGCCGGGAAGAAAUCGUAUGGGUUAAUACCCUGUGCGGAUGACGGUACCGGCAUAAGAAGCACCGGCUAACUACGUGCCAGCCGCCGCCGUAACAC